GGUGCUAUAGCUCAGAGGCAGAGCACUUACCUAGCAUGUGUGAGGCACUGGGUUCAAUCCCGGGGGCACUG
rnacentral:tRNA from 1 species